rnacentral:rRNA from 1 species
UACGGGGGGGGCAAGCGUUGUUCGGAAUUACUGGGCGUAAAGGGCUCGUAGGUGGCCAACUAAGUCAGACGUGAAAUCCCUCAGCUUAACUGGGGAACUGCGUCUGAUACUGGAUGGCUUGAAUUCGGGAGAGGGAUGCAGAAUUCCAGGUGUAGCGGUGAAAUGCGUAGAUAUCUGGAGGAAUACCGGUGGCGAAGGCGGCAUCCUGGACCGACAUUGACGCUGAUGAGCGAAAGCUAGGGGAGCGAACGGG